CCGAACGGCCGCGGAAGCCACCGCCGCCGAUCUAACGAUCGCUUGCUCGGGCCACCACUCGUCACGCCUAAAAAAGGACGUGAGUGGCGGGGACGACGGCAAAGUGCGUUGCGCCGCCGGAUCGGAUGAGGCCGACGCCGCCGCCUUCGUCGUCGUCUUCACCGUUCACCGGUCACCGCUCGUAGUUCGUACUUGGCUUGGGCACUCCGUCGUCGUCCGCCGGGCGACGGCUCUCGAUAUCUCAGUCGCGGCGCUCCCGCACUCGCACGCUCAAACGUACGUUCCACGUACGCACGUCUUCGCCGCCGCCGCCUUCGUCCUACAGCACAAGGCACAACGUUUGCGGUCACGCACGUACGGGAUCGCGCGCGCGCACGUAAGCUCUGCCCGCGGUGCGCACCGUUGUUAUGUUGUUAUGCGAUUCGAGUCGACUAGUCGACGCCGAGGACGGAUUUUUCACACACACCGGACGACGGCGUUACAACGACACUUUUUUACCCUUUUAUCUGUCCAUAUUUUUUCGCUUUCACAUCAUUCUACAACUCUAUCGUCCAAUCGCGUCGUCGCUCGUUUUUAACACUCCGUCGUCGUCGUUCAUGUCAAGCAGUUUAAUAAUAUUAUAUUUUAUAGUUUAUAACUCGAACUUGUACAACAUUAUUGCGGUGGUUUCCGCAUGCAUUUUAAGGAUGUCGAAUAAAAACGACCCUCGGACGAUAAUCUGUUAAACCGUAAUCGUGUAAUCGUCAUCACAGUCGGCGACAAUAUGGCGUCGGGCGUCGGCCACUUAUCGUAUCGGUAGAGCAAAAAAAAAAAGCGGUCGAUCUUAGGCGAUAUCUGCUAUAUCGUGUGGUUUUGGGCUCAUUCUUACUUAUUAUUACCAUUAUUGUUUAUUUAAUACGACGUUUCAAUGUUUGGGUUCGUGUUUUUGUGCGACAGGUUUUUUUCCGAAGGCUCCCCAAAAUCAUGGUCACCAGGACGCGGCCGCACAUUCCAGCAGGUAAACCGAGACGACAAACAUUGUGUGAGGAGACGGCAAAUGUUUUCGUGUCGGGUGUGUGGGCACCACCCCGUGUAGGUACCCAGCAAAAAAUGUAUUAGGUAUAAUAUUAUGUUUCAAGCAGAGAGAGAGAAUACGACCCAAUAAUUUAUAACAUACACUGAAUAUAAUAUGUAGGUACCGGCAAUGUACCCGAUGGCAUUCGAUGUUAUAAGAUAGGAGACGGACGAAAAGUUAAUAAUAUAUUUAAAAACCUGCUAAUUCGUCGUGUUAUGUAAAUUUUAACGAAGCCGGCUGAAUUUCCGCCGUAAAGACUCGUGAGGUGGUGUAUUCGCCUCGUUCGGAAAGGCGUUUCGUGUAAGUAAAUUAUACACCUGAGUGUUCGGCGGGAGGAGAGCCUUAAAAAACAAAAA